AUGGUCACUACUGUUUGAUUUGUAGAAUAUGUAACAGAUUUCUAUCUACCAUGGUCUAGGUAUAAAGGUGGACCAUCAUUACCAAGGAAGUUGAUCUCGCAGGGUGCUACACAGAAGCAAUAUAGUGUUGAGGUUUACCCACUCAUUUUGAAGUUGACUGAUGCCAGAGAUAAGAGUGUGUCAACUGUAAAAUUAAGCAAAAAGAACGCAUAGAAGAUAGAAGAGAACUCGAACGCAGCUUGGAGGAAGCACCGAAGCAGCCAUCUCUCGUCGCCAUUCCUCAAUGUCCAGCCACCGCUGCUGCUACAGCUUCGGCGCAACAUCGCCCUUGUUCGCCGCGCAUCCGCCUCCUUUUUGGCCAAGCUUCUGCGUCUGUUUUUUGGCCAACCCUUGUUCGAGCUGCUUAGCCCUCUGCUCAGUCCUCUACGCCGCGUGUUCGAGCCUCUGUUCAGCCUCUGUUCCGCGGCCUUUCAGCCACCGUUCGCCAUUGUCUGCCUCCAUUCAGCCAUCUCCGUCGCGAUUUAAAGCUCCUCCCUUUCCCUGUACUGUUUGAAUUUCAGAACUGCUCCAUCCUAAGUCGUAGUGAUCUGUAUGCCUUUGAUCCCAUAGCCUUUGUAUUGUUGCAUAUUGGUAGAUAGAAGGUAUCAAAUUUUGUGACAUAUCUAUUAUGUUGCUGAUCUAGAAAAUUGGUCGCUUUAUUAUAUUCUCUAGAAACAAUACAACUAUACAACUACUAAACCUAUAAACCAGCCAACAUAUUUAAGGAUAUCCUUCAGUGGUGCCAUUGUGAGAAUGGUUGAAUUCUUGUAUUCUCUCUCUGGAAUGUUUUAUUAUAAUUUUUUUAAGUUUUAAAAACUGUUUUAACAUUCUUAUGCACUCCUCCGUGAUCAGAUAUGAUCCCAGUUUAUACCUCAAUAUAUUUCUCUACUCGUACGCUUCAAUGUUGUUGUUGAAUUGCUGACCUUUGGUGCAUUUAUUGUGCUGUAGGUAGUGUUGUAGUAAUAUUUAUGGCUAGGAUGAAAUAUUGGUUAGCCAUAGAAUGCUUUGAUAUUUUGGGUUCCUUGGUGUCAAUGCUGAGAGUAAUUAAGAGCAAGCAUCUGUUAUGAUGCCCAAGUUGGUAGAAGGGGAGCCACAAGGUGGAAGAAGUAUCAAGUAUGUAUUAUUGAAUUAAAAGAUUUUUAAAAUCGUAAUUUGUACAUUAUCUAAAGAAAGUUGAGGUAGAAUUCAAUAUUGAGGUAGUUGAGACCUGAAUGGCAAGAACAAAUUACUAAA